UACGUAGGUGACAAGCGUUAUCCGGAAUUACUGGGCGUAAAGCGCACGCAGGCGGCUGCGUAAGUCUGACGUGAAAUCUCUCGGCUUAACCGGGAGCGGUCGUUGGAAACUAUGCGGCUUGAGGCAAUGAGAGGGGUGUGGAAUUCCCGGUGUAGUGGUGGAAUGCGUAGAUAUCGGGAGGAACAUCAGUGGCGAAAGCGGCACCCUGGCAUUAGCCUGACGCUCAGGUGCGAAAGCGUGGGGAGCGAACGGG
rnacentral:rRNA from 1 species